rnacentral:rRNA from 1 species
UACGGAGGGUGCGAGCGUUGUCCGGAAUCACUGGGCGUAAAGGGCGCGUAGGUGGCGCGAUGAGUCUGUGGUGAAAGCCCGAGGCUCAACUUCGGGUCGGCCGCGGAUACUCUCGUGCUGGAGGGUGGUAGAGGCCAAUGGAAUUCCGGGUGUAGCGGUGGAAUGCGUAGAGAUCCGGAAGAACACCGGUGGCGAAGGCGGUUGGCUGGGCCACACCUGACACUGAGGCGCGACAGCGUGGGGAGCGAACAGG